rnacentral:rRNA from 1 species
CGGUACGUGAGGCCGGGCGGGACGGGUGGAAGUAACGCGUUACGGGUACUCGCCCAUACAGGGGGAUAACAGUUGGAAACGGCUGCUAAUACCGCAUAAGCGCACAGUACCGCAUGGUACGGUGUGAAAAACUCCGGUGGUAUGAGAUGGACCCGCGUCUGAUUAGGUAGUUGGUGGGGUAACGGCCUACCAAGCCGACGAUCAGUAGCCGACCUGAGAGGGUGACCGGCCACAUUGGGACUGAGACACGGCCCAA